UAAACUCCAUGAACUUCCCAGCUUGCGUUCCCAUUACAAAGGGCAACUCCUGCGGCCAAACAACCCGCCCAGGACAACGCAGCCAAACGCAACACGCAGACAGGCGCAAGGCUGAAGAAGAGAACGCAAGGGGACUGCCAUGUACCUGCUCUGAAGGUCCUUCCCCCAGAGUCGCAACGUUCUCCAAAAUCAGACGCUUGCUAAAACCCAUCUGUAACUGAACGCUCAGCUCUUCUUAAUUUGCACACACUGCGAGGGUGAAAAAGGGCUGGGAUCUGAUCUGCACGCAGUUAUAAUGUGGAUUGAUUUGACUGAGGGUAUGAUUUUUUUUUAAACCAAAAUAGUUAUACUGAUACCAUUCCUAGUGUUUUACCAGCAUAAAGGGUGUAUUGGUAUAGUUCAUAUACCUUCCCUAAAUGGGAACAUGUAUGUAUGAUGUAUUAAGCAUAUGUGUAUCAGUAGAAAUCACAUCUACACCGGAAGGAUAUAGUGAUGUUACUACACAAAUAAAAGUUUUUGUUAAAGCUGUACA
rnacentral:lncRNA from 1 species